UGAGUUAGUUAUUAAAGCUUUAUGCGCUGAGGGAUUGGGAUAUGCUCUAUUAGCUUGUUGGCGGGGUAAAAGCCCACCAAGGCUAUGAUAGAUAGCUGGUCUUAGAGGAUGAACAGCCACAAUGGGAUUGAGAUACGGCCCAUAUUCCUACGGGAAGCAGCAGUAGGGAAUCUUCCACAAUGGACGAAAGUCUGAUGGAGCAAUACCAUGUGAACGAUGAAGGUCUUUUUGAUUGUAAAGUUCUUUUAUGAGGGAUAACAACUGAUAGUACCUCAUGAAU
rnacentral:rRNA from 1 species